AGAAGUAUACACACAGAAAUGCAUGUGUCCACUAUAUUACAAUCUGCAUUAUACUUACAUCUACAGAAAAACAUCGUCUCUUCUUGGGUGUAAGAAUUCAUUACAAGGAAGUAUAGUGGAAUUAAUCUCUGAAAAAGAGUGACCAUCACUUAAUUCUGUCGCGGCAAGGCUACUGACCAAUUCUGUAAAAUAGAAAGAACAAGCAGAAUCACAAUUAUUGUAAGGAAGAACUUGAAAGAUUAGCAAUUUCGAUACUAAAUUCACUUGAGAUGGCUGGUGCACUACACGGAUUGGUCUGGCAUGCCAAGAAUGGCAAGGGCGAGUUCACGCUGGUUUCC
rnacentral:lncRNA from 1 species